UAAUAAUAAUAUUUUUCAAUGUAAAGAUAGAGGCUGCCUGGCCGGCAUUCAUAUUUAUAUGAAAAACAGACACUUCGGCCAGUUAGAGUUUUUUAUUUUCUCAACGUUUCGACAAAAAUCUUUUGUCUUCGUCAGGAGAAGUGAAUAAACUGGCCGAAGUGUCUAUUUUUCAUAUAAAUUUUUAAUGUGUUUAUUUUCAUAUAUAUUAUCAAAUAUUAUCUCUACAAAUCUCACUAAAAUGUUAAAUAUUAUGAUUAAGAGGGCUUGAAUCAUCAGUGGUGAAUCCUCUCAGCCAUUUCUCCAAAAUUAAUCUCAAGAUCGCUCUACAUUUGUAUUGGAUUGGAUUCACCACUGAUGAGCUAAACCUUCUCAUUCAAUAACUUUUAUCAUUGUAGUAAAAUCUGUAGAUAAAAUAUUUAAUUAUAUAUGCCAAAAGAAACACAUUUAUUGGAUCGUUUUUUUUUUGAGACAACUCUCAGAUUUAUAAAAUUAAUUUAUUAAACUACAAACAUUUUUAGAUAUAGAGAGAGAAACGAACCUCGUAUUUAAGGCAACAAAAGAAUCAUCUAAUUUGCAUACAUCGUUCUAACCAGAUUCAACUUGUGCAAAACAGACGACAAAGAAAAAUAAACAAACUAAUAAUAGAGGGUAAGUUCCUAUUUUACAAGCUUUCUCACACUCAAAGAAUAAUAAUUUUCUUGCUUUAAAAUUGCCAAAAUAUUAUAAUUACAAAUUUUAGCGAUAGAUGUGGCAAGUGAAUUUAUAAAUAUAGAUAUAUUGUAUUAUUGAUAUUUUGUAUCUAUAAAUACUUCGUUUUCUUUCGUAUAUUCUACACUUUAUAAAAUCCUAGAAUUAUAAAUUUUUGAUACUGUGUUAGUAUUUUAACAAAUAUAAAUUAUAUAUUUAGAUACUAUAUAUAUUUUCAAAAGAGUUAAACAGAAAUAUAUUUGGGCGAAAAAUUGAAAACGCUUUUUUCUUUAUAUACAAUCAUUGGCAAAUCGUCGGUUGUAUUUUUAUUUAUCUUUUGAGGAGACAGAGGCAAUUUUGUUCGAACUUGGUCAUUUCGUGUGUCUUCAAUAAAUCUCACUGUAAUAUCUUUCAGAAAUUUUGUCUGAAUAUCGAAAUAUAUGAUAAAAUGCACAAUUUUCUUAAGUUUUGUCCAUGAGUAUACUCUAUUGAUAAACAAUAAUUUAUUGUAUUUAUAUAUAUAAAUGAAUUUUAUUCUUAUGAAAGAUUUUUCAAUAAAAAGAUAAACGUAGUAUAUCAAUAAAUUGAAGGGAUGAUACUCAGGGAUACUUAGGUUCAUAACUGAAUUUUUUAAUGGUGUUUUACUCAAAAUAUAAAACUAAAUUUUUAAAAUUACAAUUAGUCACUCUCAGUUUUCUACACACAACUCACAGUGACAAUAUAUCAUCAAAGAAUGAUAUAAUAAAUAAUAAAAUGAAAGAGUUCCUGCAAUAAAUAUUGACUCCAAUCUAUCUAUCUAUUGAGAAUGAAUAUUGAUUUACCAUAUAUUGAUUUUCAAUGAUUAUCUUUAUUCAUAGUUUCCCUUUGCACCGACUGUUCUGAUAAUACUAGAAUAUAUUAUAGGUUUGGUAUAUAUUCCAUGAGAUCAUGUUUAGAUUCAUAAUUGAAUCCUAGAUGUGCGAGUUUAGUAUUUAAAGAAAGAAAUGUGUCCAGAGUGUUGAGGAAUACACACAGGAAGUUGUACCUUACAGAAUGUAUAUCGGGAUUCAUACAAUACCUCUGAAGGAUACACUCAUUAACAAAACUUGAGGAAGUUGUACCUUUUAGCAUGUAUAUCGGGAUUCAGACAAUAACUCUGAAAGAUACACUCAUGGACAAAACUUAAGGAAGUUGUACCUUUUAACAGGUAUAUCGGGAUUCAGACAAUAACUCUGAAAUAUACACUCAUUGACAAAACUUAAGGAUGUUGUACCUUUUAGCAUGUAUAUCGGGAUUCAGACAAUAACUCUGAAAGAUACACUCAUGGACAAAACUUAAGGAAGUUGUACCUUUUAACAGGUAUAUCGGGAUUCAGACAAUAACUCUGAAAUAUACACUCAUGGACAAAACUUAAGGAAGUUGUACCUUUUAACAGGUAUAUCGGGAUUCAGACAAUAACUCUGAAAUAUACACUCAUGGACAAAACUUAAGGAAAUUGUACCUUUUACCAUGUAUAUCGGGAUUCAGAUAAUAACUCUGAAAGAUACACUCAUGGACAAAACUUAAGGAAGUUGUAUAUUUCAGCAUGUAUAUCAGGAUUCAGACAAUAACUCUGAAAGAUACACUCAUGGACAAAACUUAAGGAAGUUGUAUCUUUCAGCAUGUAUAUCAGGAUUCAGACAAUAACUCUGAAAGAUACACUGAUGGACAAAACUUAAAGAAGUUGUACCUUUCAGCAUGUAUAUCGAGAUUCAGACAAUAACUCUGAAAGAUACACUGAUGGACAAAACUUAAAGAAGUUGUACCUUUCAGCAUGUAUAUCGAGAUUCAGACAAUAACUCUGAAAGAUACCCUCAUGGGGACAAAACUUAAAGAAGUUGUAACUUUCAGCUUGUAUAUCGGGAUAUUUGAAACACAGUGACCUUUAUUGAGCACACACGAGAAAACUAAGUGUGAACAAAUUUUCUUCUGUCUCCUUCAAAAACAUAGACGACCACGAUAUAAAAGUCUCUACCUCUGCUCAGCAGGCCAAUCACGGCGUGGACACUAGGAACGAUGUACGCAUGUUUUUUGUCCAAGAGACUCAUGGGAAAAAGGCCAAAGCGGGUGAAGAUUGUGCGCUCGGCGGAGCUGAACCUGACCUGCCAAGCUGCCAACGCCCGCUUGUAGAUUGUCGAUUUAAGUUUCGACAGAAUAGAAAUUCGGCAAAAGCCAGGAAUGAUAUAGGCAACAAAAGCCCUUGCAUCCCCUGUUUUUCGCUGAAAAACCACGUCACACAGCCAGAAGGAAUGAUGCAUUCUCCAUGCACCGAGCGGCCUUUGGUAGGCCCCUCGCGCCCGCCAGUAUGGUCCGGCUACAAUGGGGUUGACCACUCACCCACAGGCGUCUCCGAGAGUUCAUUGGCAAGGUUGCUGACCGAGCCCUCUCGUUCGGACUUAGAGCCAUCCGUCCUACGCUCCAAUAGGACUCCCCCCCCUUUAGCCCUCGAACCCUUAACCAGUACUCCCUGAAUCUGCCGUCGAAUCAAGGACCUCUGAGGAACUGAGGUUUACGCGGGGAACGCCGUGAACGCGGGGGGGUGGUACUACUGUGUGCACCCCUUGGUUUCUCAUGGUGCGCACGACAAGGACGCUCCCAAUGACGCACACACAGAGCGAAGACCCAAGAGUUUCAAGUCACGUGCGCCUCGCCUCAGACAACCAAGGACAGACGGCCAGCUUACAGCUUCACUGGACAUCAGUCAGUGGCACCCCGACGGAGGACACACGCAGAGACGCCUCUCAACUCACUCCCCUCUAGAGUGAUUGUAGAGGGCGGGAAAAACUCCUUCCCCGCUUAAGUUUCGACAGCGGUGCGAGGCGAUGGCAGCUCGGGAGAUCAUAUUCCGCCCCGCGUUUCGCGAGCACAUCAGCUACCUCAUUACCAUAAAUCCCGCUGUGGCCUUUGAUCCAUUGUAUGGUACAUCUGUUCCCAUUGCGGUUCAGUUGUGAAAUCAGCAACAAGGCUCUGUUGACCAGGAGGUUGCCAGUUCUGGAGUUUAGAACGGAUUUCACAACUGAGAGGUUAUCCAGGAGAAUUUCAAUGGUGUAAUUGUCGGGAAGCUUUGAGGCGUCCUCAAGUGCUUUAAGCAAGCCAAGUGCCUCCGCUUGGAAGACAGUACAGUACGGGGACAGGACAAAGCUUCAACGCAGUUCAUUCAUGGAGCCAUUCGCACACACUCUAUAUAGGCCUGUGCCAACUCCAGUUUUCGUCUUGGAACCAUCUGUGUAGUAGAUGACGUCAGCAGAAAGAUCAGGAAUAUUAAUGGGAGCGGAGUAAUAGGGAGGAUAGGGAGGUGGGUGAGGGCAGGGGGGAGGCUCGACUGGAAAAUCAGCGUCAACAAAACUGUGCUUUUUAAAAUACAAUUCCGCCUUGGCGCCGACAUCCAGAUCGAGAGGGAGAACACGUGAAAGAGAGAUGAGAGAGCUAUUGGCAGUUGUUUUAAAGGCGCGGCAUGUCCCGAUGAGGAACGGGCGCUGCGCGCUUAAAAGAGUGUUUAAGGAGCGUUGUUUAAGAUUAGAAAACCACACAGGAGAAGCGUAAGAGAUGGCUGGGACCACGACCUGUAGAUAGAGCAUCCUCAGGGCACGGAAACCAAAGCCAAAAUUGGAGUUGGCGGCUGCUGUCAAACGCGGGAGAAAUCCGCGGACUCUUGUGCAAACCUCAACCACAUGCUGGUGGAAGGUGAGACGCUGAUCAAACCUUACUCCCAGCACUUUGAUUGAGUCGCUCCAUUGAAUGGGUUGACCAUUAAUGGUUAGAUCGCAGCUAGGCUUUAGUAGUCUGCCAGUACGUCUUAGAAGGAGCAUGGCCUGACACUUCCUCACGCUGAGUUCCAGUUUAUGCAGGCCACACCACCUCGUGAUCUCGUUAAUGGCAAGUUGCGCCGCUCCAAGUUGAUUAGUAACUUGGCCCGCCACCACCAUGACAAGAUCGUCGGCGUAGGCCUGCGGGUGUACACAUUUUUUAAAGUUGAGCGUGAGGAGCUCGUCAAAGACAAGGUUCCAAAGAAACGGCCCAAGAACUGAGCCCUGCGGGCAGCCUUUGGAAACCUGCCUCGUGACCGUGCAACCAUUCAUAGACAGUCUGACAACACGGUUAUUGAGGAAGGAGCGAAUCAGGACAAACAGGUUUUUUGGACAAUCAUUCAUACACAGAGCUCGCAAUAUGCUGGAGUGUAGCACAUUGUCAAAAGCGCCUUUCACAUCAAAGGAAAGAAGAACAGAAGAUUUUCUAUGCUGAAGCGGCCGGGAGAGAUUAUUUUUUAAAUUUAGAAGUGUGGCGACAGUAGAUUUGCAGGGCCUGAAACCGAACUGGUUUGGUUGGGCUUUACACAUUCUCUCAGCUCGCCACGAGAGCCUGGCCAGGAUUAGACGCUCUAGAAUUUUACCUAAGCCAGGCAGCAUCGUGAUGGGCCGAUGAGACGCGAGAAAGUCCUCAUUACCUUUUUGGGGAAUGAGUAUGACAUCACCCAGUUUCCAAGGGGUUGGAAAAUGUCCAGUUUCACACACACACAAAGCACCUAUUGAAGAUCUUUAAAAAGAACGUCGGGAAUUUUUUAAUUAAUUUAACAAUGACAAGAGGUGGCAUACCAUCACUGCCAGGAGCAGAAGUUAGGCUAACCUUAUCCGCAGCCAGAAGCAGUUCUAUUUCUGAGAACGGUGGGUCGUUAUUAGAGGUGGACUGCACGGCUUUAUGUAAGUUAACAUGCUCUACUGUUGUAUCGGGCGGGACGCGGCCGAAGUAGUGCAUUAAAACGUGUUCUAGAGUGUCCCGCGGACUGUCAGUGAGAUCGUCGCCAACCAGGAGAGAGGAAAGAGGCUUCCUCUUGGUGGAGCCUUUUAUAAAUUUAUAAACGCCGCCCCAGGGGCUAACCUCACAAAGCGAACAGAUCCUUCUCCAUUCAGCAGACUUCCCGUGUCUGAUAGAGGUGCGAAAUCUAUUAUAUAAUUUCUUAUAAAAUAUUUUCAACACGCUUCUAACAGGCCCACGAGCUUUUCUCCAGGCCCGUUCAGCUUUUUGAGUAACCUUUUGGAGCGGAUUUAGUUCAGGUUUCCACCAAGUGGGUUUCUUAAAAAAAAAUUAUUGGCGGCAGGUUUAGAGGGAAUGGUUUGUAGACACGAGUGAAACACCUCGUCUUUUAGUAAAUUAAUUACUUAAUCGACUUGAGUUGUGUCACUUGCGUCCAGUAAGGAUGAAAUUCUAAAAAAAAAAUUUUUUUAGAGCUAGAAAAAAAAAAUUCCCAGGCGAACCAAAGCUGAAGUGUACUUCGCUAAAAGUAUCUCGACUUAUUUAGGCAUACAAUUUUAGUCAAAUGGUAUUCUAGCAAAAAAUAAAUAUAACAAAUUGUUUACAAUAAAAUAUAAAAUAAUUUAAUAAAGAAUAACUAAAUAUUUACAUUUACAAAAUGUAACUUUUAUAACACACAAAGUUUAACACAGCGCCAUCUAGGUGUGGCAAUUGGAAUUAUUUAACCCUACAGUAGUGAGCGCAAUAGAAAAUUGUUUUUUACUAGAAUAUAUAAAAUAAAUCGUCAAAUAUAGUUUUGAUUUCUUAUAAUUAACAACUCUUUGACCCCAAUUGAGAGAAACAAUAAAAGAAAUAUUAUUAAAUAAAUAAAGCUUCCAGGGUUAAGUUUCUUGUACAACCUUUUAUUUCAAGCUUUCGGAUUUGUCAGUCGUUCAACAGGAUUUUCACUUAAAAAUUUAGUAAUAAAUACAAUUUAUAUAUACAAGUAUCAGAGUCAUCAACAAUCAAUUCUGUCAUCGUUUGCUUUUGUGAAUGGAAUGGCCAUUUCUUAUAAGCAUCGGUGGUUCAGUGGUAGAAUGCUCGCCUGCCACGCGGGCGGCACGGGUUCGAUUCCCGGCCGAUGCAUUUUUUUUUAAAUAAUUUUUAAAACUCAUUUAUAUUAUUAUAUUAUAUAUAAAAGUCAAUGUCUGUUGUCUGUUUCGCGAUAAACUCAAAAACUACUGAACCAAUUGGUACCAAAUUUUGCAUGUCGCUUUUUAUAAACCCGUAUUGCUAUUCUAUGACACUUCACCAUUUAUUAUUGAUGUUAUUUCAGUAUGAAGGAAAUUGCAUUCAGGGGGAAUUCUCGGGCGAAGCCGGGUCAUUCGUCUAGUUUUUAUAUACACGUUAUUAUAUACAUAUUUUAAAUACCUACUAUAUAAUGAGAGAAAAUUAUGCUACAUUAUUUCUGUUUGAUAAUCAAAAUAUUUUGAAAAUAUACGUGCGUGGUGGAUGGAUGAUACGUGCUGGUUGAAUGAUAUCUCGAGACUUCAAAUUAAUAGAACUAUAUACUGAGUAUACCAAUCAAUCAAAAUGAAUAUAGGUAUAUUAAUAUAAUUAAGUUUUAUAUUCUAUUAUAUAUUAUAUUGUCUCAAUUAUUAUAUAUAUAAAAGUGUAAAUAUCAAAAUGGCAUAUCCUGACCAGGAGCACAUGUGCUUUACAGAAGGCAGAGCGCCAUCUAGUGAAACAGAAAUCAACUAAACAUCGGUUUAACCUGUUCCCUGAUAUUUUGCCAACCCAAUUUAUUGAUAAAUCAAGUAAAGCCACCCACGAACACGUUUCGCGCUGUUGGCGCUCGUUAGAGUGGAGUAGGGUGUAAAACUGCGACCAACAAUAAUUUUGGUCCCAGUGGCUUCUUGAAAAAUUAAGAAAUGGGUAUUUAAGGCCAAACUUGCGUAAUAUAAUAAUAAUAAUAUGAUUAAUAAUAAUUUUUUCUAUUGUUUUUUUCAUAUAAAUGUGUGUAAAUACAUUAUAUUUAAUACAAGUAUUCAAAUAGAUAGAUUGUAAGAGGAAUCAAAUAAAGGAAGUAUCCCAAGAAUGUCAGAGAUCUGCCUGGCGACCUAUUCCCAUCCCUUAUUACCUGGAACUAAAUAAAUGGAGAAAUCUUUUCACCAAACUUAAACAAAAUAUUUGCAGAUAAAGGUUGUAGAGUGUAAAUGAAUUUUUAAAUAAAAGCUUAGAACGGACAUUAGAAAUCAGAAAAAUUGAUUAGAAAAUAAUAGAAGAAUCGUGAUUUAAUGUUUACUUUUACUUCGUAUAGAUGGCGCGGUAUUUACCCUAUAAUACUUAUAUAACACAGGUCUACAAAAAAAAACUUUUUUUACCGGAGAAAACCUGAUGUUUAUACUAAUGAACUUUCCAUGCUGAAUUCAAAAAUGAAAUCCAAAGUUUUCCAUCACCCAUAGUUCUUGUAGAAUAACUAUUUUUUCUAUAAAUUGGUAUAUACAGUAAUAAUGCAGAAAAUGUUACGUAAGCAUUUUUUAAGUAAACAUCAUUACAUUAGCUAGAGCUUCAUUUUUGACAAGAAGAGUUGAUAUGUGGAGUCAAAAGCUUUAUUUUAUUUGUUAUUAAUUAAAUUUUGCUCUUUAAGAAUCAUAAAUAUUAAUUUAAAUAACAAAUUUAUGAAUUUUUAUAUUAUUACGGUUUGGAUAAAUUUUAAGACUUUUAAACGCAUGUAAGGCUGGCUAAUAUGCUAUAUUUAUUUCGAAAUAUUUUUACUUCUUAUUUAUUUAUUUAUUUCAAUUCAAAACGCUAUGUCCCCCUAGGGACACUUGCGCUAAAUGUACAUACAAAUAUAACAAAGAAAAUAUUCAACAUGGAAAGAUAAACAGAAAGCGACUUAGAAAGAUUCAUAAAUAUUAUUUACAUAUAGAGAUAUUCUUUGAAUUUUAUUUACAGUUACAUCAUUAAAUUUAAAAAUAUAUACACACAUAUACACGCAUACACCUAUAUAUUGUUUACAAUCACAAGAUAUGUCCAAUAUUUCCUUGAGAUCGUUACAUCAAAGACCAUUUUUCUUAAUGGAAUCCAAAAUAUAUUUACAAAGGAAAUUAAAUUAUAUAUAUGUGUUCCUACUUGAAAUAAAUCACUAGGGCCUAAAGCUAUUAAACCGUUGUUGACUCUGUAAUCUUGAAAGACAGGGCACUCUAGCAAGAGAUGUAUUGAAGUUUGUUCCCCCAAUCCACAGAAACAUGUUGAAUCUUGCACAGCCUG